UGCUGCUGGAUCAUUACUCACCGUGAU
rnacentral:rRNA from 1 species